GGGAGAAGCAACUUCCUCUGGUCUUCUGGAGGUGUAACCUACGUGCCCAGUAGGAUAUACUGCCGGGUUGUGAAAUGUCCACGCCUCUCCCCAACUGUCUUCCUUCCCAGCCCUCCGGGCUUGGCUUUCUUGCUUCCCCAGGAGUUCAAAUCUCCAACCUGCGGAAGAAUUCAGCUGCUUGAAAGGACUUAAGGCAGUGUGCGGAGGACAUCUCCUUUCUCCGCCAGUAAAGAGAGCUGUUCAAAGACCGAGGCUGCUUACGAUGACGUGGAGAGGAUUUCAAACAACCUUAACAGGCUUUGAACUGACAAGAAGCGGUGAUAUCUGCCUCACUCUGGCACAGCUCCUCCAGUGCACUUGCUAGGACAAUGGCUGAGAAAGCACUUGGUGCUGGCCUCUCUGCCGGGGGCGAGGACUGCCCAACCCCCAGAGACCCUAAGGCAGGAGUUGCUGCACUACAAUGGAGAGGUCUUGUCUUAGGCUGCACCUCAGGUUCUCUCAGAUCUUCUGGAAGGGCGUUAUUCAGCGGUACUGUGGUUGCGCUGUGCCAGCAGCUGCUUGAUGGAGACCUCUUCUCCCCACAUCUGAAUGGAACGUCUUUGCCCAGAGUCUACAGAAUGUCAAAACUGAGGCUCCGACCUCAGAGCUACAGCUUUAAGGACCACUCCACACAAAGAGGCAGCUGGUUGCUUUAAUGAAAACUGCCUUUAAGCUUCAAGAACUGAGGCCUUGGGGAAUCCAUUUAUAAGGAGCCUAGAAAAUGCAUUUCCAAGUUGUAUGUUCUUAGGAGAUACAAAAUAAAAUUUACCUGAAAAAAUUAAUUGU
ensembl:lincRNA Gm30731 predicted gene, 30731